CAGGUUUAGAGAAACCCAAGUUAGCUUGCUGCAAGUAUUGACUGACUCAGUUUGAAUUGACUUGAUCAAGUGAUUUUGUUCAUUACAAGUGAAUCAAACUUACACCCUUUUUAUCUGCAGGAAUAUCACCCUGUACAAAUUUGAUACCCAGUCUGUUUUUCAUCACCAAAUCCCCUGGUUGCUGGUGAGUCUUAUUAGUAAACACCUUCUUAACAAGUGCUGGGAUUCAGUCUCUAGGCCAAAAUGGGUAUGACGGACGAGUUCGAAGCUUCUUUGCAGGUAUACUAUGGGGAUUUGAUACUGACAUUUCUUUUGAAGUGAAUGAAAUCAAGAGAUCUGUAGCUUCCACAAGCAGGAGAACAGCCAUCUGAUUUUCUGAUCUCAAGCAAAUAAUAUAUUGAUUUCCUCUAAUAGUAAGAAUUGGGUUACUAGUAUUGCAGCAGCUAAGUGGAGUCAAUGACAAUCUAUUUUAUGCAAGCAAUAUUUUCAAAGCUGCUGGUCGUUUGUGUAUCAACCGUCACUAUCUGCCAAACCAAGUUUUUCUUAAAGAUGAGGUAUGCAGAUAAGGUGCCCCACCUUAAAGAUGACCAUACGCAAGAAUUUGGCUGGUCCAUCUCACUGCAAAGUUGCCAUGAGAAAGAGGAGAUCGAGCGAAGAGCUGGGUUUGGGGUUAUCUGAUGCAAUCUGUAUAUCAGACUUGCACAGGUGCUGUCAUCCUAACGACAUCGUUUUCUGGGGUCUUAUAGUUCCAUUUCUCUCAAUCGAACAUUUCAACUUGAAUAUGAGAAUGUAGUAUCAGAAACAACAAUUUCUACUAUACUGAAAAAUCGGUCAAAGUCUUCACCAUCUUGUGGAGUUUCUGAUAAACCAGACGGCCGUCCUUUAAAUUAAUCCAUAAAAGAAAACAUUAUUCUUGAUUAACUAGUUUUUUAUCCAAGGAUAUGGCUAGUUCUAUUGUAUGAGAUUGGGAGCCUACAACUGAAUGAAUGGCACCAUUCCAGUCUAUGCGCCUGCUUCACCAGAAUGGUGGCAUCUUAGUAAAGGCACUGGUAAGUGUUAAAUAUAAACUUGGUUAAGGGAAAAUAUGAGAAAUUGUGAUCAAAGGCUCUACCUUGCAAAAAAAAAAAAAAAAAAAGGUUGCAUUUGCAGUGUUUUUUUUUUUUUUCCAAGGCAAAAGUAAAUUAAAGAGUAAUUAAGUAUAGCACUAUGGGCUGGUUGGCAACUUUGCAAGAUUUGUUUGAUUGCCA